rnacentral:rRNA from 1 species
UACGUAGGUGGCAAGCGUUGUCCGGAUUUACUGGGCGUAAAGGGCUCGUAGGCGGCCAACUAAGUCAGACGUGAAAUCCCUCGGCUUAACCGGGGAACUGCGUCUGAUACUGGAUGGCUCGAGAUUGGGAGAGGGAUGCGGAAUUCCAGGUGUAGCGGUGAAAUGCGUAGAUAUCUGGAGGAACACCGGUGGCGAAGGCGGCAUCCUGGACCAACACUGACGCUGAGGAGCGAAAGCCAGGGGAGCAAACGGG